GCCGGGAUGGUGGAAUAGGUAGACACAAAGGACUUAAAAUCCUUCGGCAGUAAUGCUGUGCCGGUUCGACCCCGGUUCCCGGCA
rnacentral:tRNA from 1 species